GGGUGCGAUCAUACCCGCACUAAUGCACCGAAUCCCAUCAGAACUCCGAAGUUAAACGUGCUUGGGCAAGAGUAGUACUAAGAUGGGUGACCUCUUGGGAAGUCCUCGUGUUGCAUCCC
rnacentral:rRNA from 1 species